rnacentral:rRNA from 1 species
CACGUAGGGCGCAAGCGUUGUCCGGAAUUAUUGGGCGUAAAGAGCUCGUAGGCGGUCUGUUGCGUCCGCUGUGAAAACUCGGGGCUUAACCCCGAGCCUGCAGUGGAUACGGGCAGACUAGAGGUAGGUAGGGGGGAGAAUGGAAUCCCGGUGUAGCGGUGAAAUGCGCAGAUAUCAGGUGGAACACCAGUGGCGAAGGCGGCUUUCUGGACGGUAACUGGACGCCUGAGACGCGAAAGCGUGGGGGGAGCAAACAGGAUUA